UACGGAGGGGACUAGCGUUGUUCGGAAUUACUGGGCGUAAAGCGCACGUAGGCGGAUUUGUAAGUCAGGGGUGAAAUCCCGAGGCUCAACCUCGGAACUGCCUUUGAUACUGCAAAUCUCGAGUCCGGAAGAGGAGAGUGGAAUUCCCGGUGUAGCGGUGAAAUGCGCAGAUAUCGGGAAGAACACCCGUGGCGAAGGCGGCUCUCUGGGACGGUACUGACGCUGAGACGCGAAAGCGUGGGGAGCGAACAGG
rnacentral:rRNA from 1 species